rnacentral:lncRNA from 1 species
GAAGAGAUUCUUGGUACCACUGACAGCAACAUGCUGGCUUUGCAGAAGAGUAACACAGAGAAAGAGUAGAAUAAGAAAGUCCUCCCGAGCCUGGAUCAAUGAAGGCUACUGUAAAGAGAGAGAGUAAACACAUUAAGCUCUAUGAGUGCUGCGGUUAUGACCUAGAACCCCCGAAAAGGGACUGUCUGCAGAGAUUGUCUGGUUGGUCAAUACCAUGGAGAGGCUGGAAUGUUGCAGAUCCAAAGGCUAAUUACCUUAUCUUGGGCUAGCUUUAGCACCCCAGAGCAGCCAUUCCUUACUUUGUGUUCCGAGCUAACAUCCUGUUACUAACAGAUUAAAGAUCCUUGGAAUCUAUUGACCUCACAGGCCCACUAAGUUCCAUCAACAGAAAAGGGACCACAAGAGUGCACCACCUUUCCUGGAGCUGAAGUUACAGAAGGUUAUGAGCUACUGUGUUGGUUCUGGAAACAAGACCUAGGGUCCUCUGCAAAAGCAGCAGAAUACUUAUUUGCUGAGGACACAACUGCUGAAAUCACUCACUGCUGGAAGUAUUAUCACACAGGACUGACCCCAGCCCAUCCUUUGCCAUCUAAAGCCAACAGCAUGUAAGCAAAUUGCAACAGUAAAA